UACGAAGGGGGCUAGCGUUGCUCGGAAUCACUGGGCGUAAAGCGCACGUAGGCGGAUUGUUAAGUCAGGGGUGAAAUCCUGGAGCUCAACUCCAGAACUGCCUUUGAUACUGGCGAUCUUGAGUCCGGGAGAGGUGAGUGGAACUGCGAGUGUAGAGGUGAAAUUCGUAGAUAUUCGCAAGAACACCAGUGGCGAAGGCGGCUCACUGGCCCGGUACUGACGCUGAGACACGAAAGCGUGGGGAGCAAACAGG
rnacentral:rRNA from 1 species